AUACGUAGGUGACAAGCGUUAUCCGGAUUUACUGGGCGUAAAGGGCGUGUAGGCGGUCUUGCAAGUCAGAAGUGAAAUUCCUGAGCUCAACUCGGGCGCUGCUUCUGAAACUGCAGGACUUGAGUGCUGGAGGGGAUAGCGGAAUUCCUAGUGGAGCGGUAAAAUGCGCAGAUAUUAGGAGGAACACCAGUGGCGAAGGGGGCUUGCUGGACGAAAACUGGCGCUGAGGCGCGAAAGCGUGGGGAGCAAACAGGAUUAGAUUCCCUGGUAGUCCACGCCGUAAACGAUGAAUACUAGGUGUGGGGGGACUGACCCCCUCCGUGCCGCAGUUAACACAAUAAGUAUUCCACCUGGGGAGUACGGCCGCAAGGUUGAAACUCAAAUGAAUUGACGGGG
rnacentral:rRNA from 1 species